GACGAACGCUGGCGGCGUGCCUAAUACAUGCAAGUAGAACGCUGAAGGCGGAGCUUGCUUCUCCGGAUGAGUUGCGAACGGGUGAGUAACGCGUAGGUAACCUGCCUGGUAGCGGGGGAUAACUAUUGGAAACGAUAGCUAAUACCGCAUAAGAGUAGAUGUUGCAUGACAUUUGCUUAAAAGGUGCAAUUGCAUCACUACCAGAUGGACCUGCGUUGUAUUAGCUAGUUGGUGGGGUAGCGGCUCACCAAGGCGACGAUACAUAGCCGACCUGAGAGGGUGAGCGAGCACACUGAGACUGGGACACGGCCCAGACUCCUACGGGAGGCAGCAGUAGGGAAUCGUCGGCAAUGGACGGAAGUCUGACCGAGCAACGCCGAAGGAGUGAAGAAGGUUAUCGGAUCGUAAAGCGCUGUUGUAAGAGAAGAGCGGGUGUGGGAGUGGAAAGUUCACACUGUGACGGUAUCUUACCAGAAAGGGACGGCUAACUACGUG
rnacentral:rRNA from 1 species